UUGUGGUGGUCAACCGAGGCCUCAGCUCUGCGUAUCUGUGCAGCCUCUCCAGGGAAGCCCGCCUCCACCCCCGGGAGUCGUGUACAUCGAGGAGACUGACUCCAUGGGCAAGAAGCGCCCCAACACCAGGUCCGGCUUCAACUAGAAGAGGAACAUACUCCAAACCAGUUUCUGUGGAAAUGGGUGGGCUGGGCACCACGGACCACGUCACAGCUCAGGCGUCCACCAACCAAACCGACACUUUUGACAAUGCUGAGGCCAAGCCCCCUGGACCAAGUCUUCAUCCACCUUUCCACACCGUGGGAAAAGCAAGAGGUUUUCAAGCAGCGGCUGAAAAGACUGGCUCUGACCUGGGCCCGCCGCGUUCACUGGUAGCGUCUGUCGGCUGCUAUCCCGUCUCAGCAUAGCCGAGUUCUGUACGGAACCCUCGCGGGAAGUUCGGGGAAGAUCUCGCGGCCAAAACGGGUUUUCCCUCCAGUACCACACGCCGCGCAGUGUUGCCAGUGCCACUCCACCGAGCAGGAUCUUCUCAGAGGAUGGUGGGGACGUGGUUGCGCUUCACAAGUUGGGCCAUGCUCGGGUUGGCUGGCUGCUGGUACACACGGAGGCGGUGGUGAAAGGCUUCUCUGUACCAGAGACAAAAGCUGUUCUGGGCUUGGCUCUGCUGCUGGAGAGAAACCAGCCCGGCUUCACCAAGGAGCUGCUAACUGAGACAGUGUGUAUGGCCCUAGGCGGCUGAAGGUUGUCCAGGACCAUCUCCUUCACAAGAUCACUUCCCAGCCACAGGAGGUCCUAAGGAAGGUCACCCGCACCACCCACUUCACGGGAAAGCAGUCUGAUGUGGCACUGAGCAGCGUCUAGCCCUUCUCCUUCCCAGAGACACCUGAGAGCCUCACAGUUGUUGGUGCUUUUCAGCCAGGACCUCCAGAAGAUACUGGGCCACAAAGCAAAGGAUGCUAAGGCCUACAGACGCAUAGAGAAAGCGCUCAGGGCUACCUGGACAGGCAGCAGGUGCUGGCGAACCCCAACUGGAAGAGGAAGUUAUAAAGCAUGAGGCCUCAGUGCCCGGUGCCGCAUGGGACUAAGAAAAUGGAGCUUCUCAAAUGAAGCAACACCUGAAGCAGAGAAACAAGAUGUUGGCGGGGAGCCUGAGAAGGAAGAGCUGUCUUGGUUUGACUUCCAUUAUGGUGACUAUGGGGAUGUGGUGUUUCCUUCCACUGGAUCUGGUUUCUCCAAGAUCAGAUUUGGGCCAUCUCUCGAGAUCAAGUCAAGACCAUUCUCCUUAUUGAGAGCCUCACCUCAACACCAGAAAAAGGGGACCCUGGGCCCUAGGACAGUCCUUCAUUCCAGACCCAGAGCUGUCGCCCCGACCCAGCAGGAAGUAGCCAGAGAGAUACAGCCCCCUUUUUCCCCAUCUUUUUUAUGAUUUCACAGUCUGGAAUGAAGGAGUCCUCAGGCCUAGAAAAGAAGAUAAAGACAUCAAAGGCCUUGGGCCUGGAAAAAGAAGAUAAUGACCUCAAGGGCCCUUGCUGAACCACCUGACUUCAGGGAUGACAAAACUGAACUUUAAGCCCCACUACGAUACUCCAGGCAGAUUGUAUCGGCCCAGGACCCUACACCCCGGGCCCCAGGAACACCCACCCUGGUUCAUCCGCAAACUGCCAUCUCAGCUAAAGAUUACCCAGCACGCCCUGCCUGACUAAAUCUUCCCGUAUUGCUUCCACAAAACCUUCCCUUAAAUAUGAAGACUCCCUGAUCCCGCACAUGCUCAGCCUAGUUGUUAGACCAACUGUCGCCCCUCCUUGCCUGAAUAAAGGUAACCUGUCUCCGUUGAGGUCAUCUUCCUUUCUUCAUUGCCUGGUCUGGAACUGUACCUUACACAUAGGAAGACUGCUGAAGUCUGACUGGGCCUAACUAAAUAAAACUGAUUAUACACUCUGGCCCUGAGCCUGAAAACAAACAAACAACAAAAACAAAAAACAGAUUUCAGUGCUCAGAAAUAAAGAGGCCUUCAGAUAACUAACACAAGAGUAAGUUUUUUAAUUUAUGAUGAGAGAGAGCUGUGACAUGAAUCAUAGUAACUGAAGUCCAAAUUGUCACAGCAUUCAUUCCUUGGGUAUCCUAUAUGAAAAGUCAAGCAUCCAAAGUAUGCUUUGGUAAGUGUAAAAAAAAAGACAAAAAAACAUCUACCUAUGAAUGUGUGUAUGCAUGUGUCUAUAUCUAUCAUCUAUAUUGUGUAGUUAAGACAUAUUAAAAUUCUUUCCCAUGAUAUAAAUAACUGCCAGUUAUAUGAAGAUGAAAGUCAGUUGAUCAAAACAAUUUUAGCCAAAAUAAUUUGAGAAAACUUCUCACAGAGUUUGCCCAAUUCAACCAAAAUAUUUAAAUACUUAACUAAAAAUUAUAAAAUUCUGCUUUAAUAUCCUCUUGCUUUCUGUUUUAUUUUUUUCUUAUGAUCCAAAGCGUAUAUUUCACUUUAUCCUCUUAUGUAUGAAUGCCACUUUUAUGUCGCAGAUUUAACUACCAAUUAGACCGUUUCUACAACAGUUUCUACAACUUGUUUCUACAACAGCUUCCUUCUUAGAAAAUUUGCAUCACAUUCACACUUUUUGUUUCUCUUAGUCAUUUGGAGCAAGCUGGGUUUUCAUUAAGUGUGAAUUUUGUGGUUAAAACUUCUGUGUAAACUUUGAAAUAUACUUCAUUUGAGCCCCAAAGAA